rnacentral:rRNA from 1 species
UACGGAGGGUGCGAGCGUUGUCCGGAUUUAUUGGGUUUAAAGGGUGCGUAGGCGGGCUCGUGAGUCAGGGGUGAAAUCCCACGGCCCAACCGUGGAAGUGCCUCUGAUACCGCGGGCCUCGAGGGGGAUAGGGGCGUGCGGAACUUCCGGUGGAGCGGUGAAAUGCGUAGAGAUCGGAAAGAACACCAACGGCGAAAGCAUUCUGCUGGGCCGACACUGACACUGAGAGACGAAAGCUAGGGGAGCGAAUGGG